rnacentral:tRNA from 1 species
GGGGGCGUGGCUCAGGGGUAGAGCACUCACCUAGCCUGUGGGAGGCCCUGGGUUCAAUCCCCAGUACUACCC